CCUACGGGAGGCAGCAGUUGGGAAUCUUGGACAAUGGGGGAAACCCUGAUCCAGCCAUGCCGCGUGAGUGAUGAAGGCCUUCGGGUUGUAAAACUCUUUCGACGGGGACGAUAAUGACGGUACCCGUAGAAGAAGCUCCGGCUAACUUCGUGCCAGCAGCCGCGGUAAUACGAAGGGGGCUAGCGUUGUUCGGAAUUACUGGGCGUAAAGCGCGCGCAGGCGGUCUUCCAAGUCAGUGGUGAAAGCCCGGAGCUCAACUCCGGAACUGCCAUUGAAACUGUGAGACUUGAGGACGAGAGAGGUGAGUGGAAUUCCCAGUGUAGAGGUGAAAUUCGUAGAUAUUGGGAAGAACACCGGUGGCGAAGGCGGCUCACUGGCUCGUAUCUGACGCUCAGGCGCGACAGCGUGGGGAUCAAACAGGAUUAGAUACCCUGGUAGUCCACGCCGUAAACGAUGAAUGCUAGCCGUUGGGUAGCUUGCUAUUCAGUGGCGCNGCUACGCAUAAGUACAUCCGUCCGUCGGGAGGUACGGGCCGGCCGAACGGUUAGGUAAACGUUAAAACGGUAAAGUUAAGUACGGUACGUUGAGACGUUAGCCGAACGGCGACGACGAGGGAGGAGG
rnacentral:rRNA from 1 species